rnacentral:rRNA from 1 species
GCCGCGGUACCACCAGCGCCCCCAAGUGGCAACCGCGAUUAUUGGGCCUAAAGCGUUCGUAGCCGGCUGAGUGAAUCUUUUGUGAAAUUGUCAAGCUUAACUUGAUAGCGCGCAGGAGAGACUGCUCAGCUAGGGACCGGGAGGAGUUAGAAGUAUUCCGGGGGGAGCGGUAAAAUGUUAUAAUCCUCGGAAGACUACCUGUGGCGAAAGCGUCUAACCAGAACGGAUCCGACGGUCAGGAACGAAAGCCAGGGGAGCAAAACGGAUUAGAUACCCGAGUAGUCCUGGCUGUAAACUCUGUGAGCAAGGUGUUGCAUAUUCUACAUGAAUGUGCAGUACCGAAACGAAGGUGUUAAGCUCACCGCCUGGGAAGUACGGUCGCAAGACUGAAACUUAAAGGAAUUGGCGGGGGAGCACUACAAGGGGUGCGGCGUGCGGUUUAAUCUAAUUCCACACAGAGAAUCUCACCAGGAGCGACGGCAGAAUGAAAGUCAUGCUGAAGACAUUACUUGACGAGCCGAGAGGUAGUGCAUGGCCGCCGUCAGCUCGUGCCGUAAGGUGUCCUGUUAAGUCAGGCAACGAGCAAGACCUGUAUCCACAAUUGCUAUCGGAUCCUCUAGGAUGACUGGGCACUUUGUGGGGACUGCCUCGGAAACGAGGAGGAAGGUGCAGGCAACGGUAGGUCUGUAUGCUCCGAAUCUCCUGGGCUACACGCGCGCAACAAUGGUAGGGACAAUGGGAUACGACUCCGAAAGGAGAAGUUAAUCCUCGAAACCCUAUCCAAGUCCGGAUUGAGGAUUGUAACUCAUCCUCAUGACGAUGGAAUCCCUAGUAAUGAGACGUCAUCAGCGUCCCGUGAAUAUGUCCCUGCUCC